GACGUAGGGGGCCAGCGUUGUUCGGAAUUACUGGGUGUAAAGGGCUCGUAGGCGGCCAACUAAGUCCGACGUGAAAUCCCCAGGCUUAACCUGGGAACUGCGUCGGAUACUGGAUGGCUUGAAUUCGGGAGAGGGAUGCAGAAUUCCAGGUGUAGCGGUGAAAUGCGUAGAUAUCUGGAGGAAUACCGGUGGCGAAGGCGGCAUCCUGGACCGACAUUGACGCUGAUGAGCGAAAGCUAGGGGAGCAAACGGG
rnacentral:rRNA from 1 species